UGGUUUCAUUAUAAUUAAAUGUAUUUAUCAAGGGGGCAUUUCAAGUCCUGCGGGGGGGUUUUCCUUUUCAGCAGGGGCCUACCCCGUGCCGAUCACGGACCCGCACGGGUAGGCGUCUGAAAUGGAUAGCUCCAUCUGUAAACACACACUGUGGUCAAUUUGGGGGAGGAUUUGGCGCCCUCUAUCAAAAGUUAUUUAAAUGUGAUAUUCCCGAAACUGCUAUUUUCUGCAUCUAUAGCGCUUUCUGAACAUAAAACUCAAAGAAUAUUCACAUGACCACGGCCGCUAGUUUGGGGACAGCGUCCUUCAGUGAAGUAUCUAUCAAACUCUAAUUUGAUAUGCUAUAACAUAUUAUAACAUUAACAGUACAAAAUAGGUAUUAUCUGUGACAUGUCUUCUCUACUGUUGAUGUGUUUUAUACUGCACGUUUAUAGCCUAUAUUAUUUGAUGUUUAUUUUAUUCAAAUGUAAUUGUGUCAAUACUUUAUUCCACCGUUUGAAUGCCUGAACACAUUUGGGAUAGUUAAAGUAUCCAUCUGUCUGGUAUAAAGCAAUGUUAGGGUACCAAUUACCCAGUGGCGAACCGUCAGGGCCUUCAAGGUAGUCAGAGAAUACCCUGAUAACUCAGAUAAAAAAAAGACAUUUAUUGAUUUAAUUAUAUAAAUACAAUUUAAUAAAAUGUAAAUACAUUUUAUAAAUGAGAAUCGUAUCUGUGUUGUUGUUCUGUAAUAAACAGUGUUACGUGGAUUUGUUUGUCCUUCUCGGACCUUGCACUAUGCAUUUUAGAAAAUAAAUGCAACCAAUCAGAUCUGUGUCUGUGGGUAUUCUGUAUCCUUGAUAGAAGGCCCUGGUCGUUGAACUGAAUGAGAGCGAACACUCUGAUUGACAGUUUGAUCAACCAAUCAUAUAUUGAUUUGUAGCCAAUGGGCGUAUUCUUUCGGAGUUUCCCACGGUGCAGGGUAUGCUAGAAGGCCCGUUAGCUCUGACAGGUGCGAGACACAGGAUAUAGAUGGGACGUAAUCAUUCAUUUUCUGUUUUAUUCGUUUUAACGUUGACAUGGCGACAGGUGAAGAAGAUGUUGUUGCGGAAUUAUUGUCGGUUCCUUUUUCAAGACGACAAUUCACUAAAAAGACGGACAUUGUAAAAAAAGGGCGCCCAACGCCUGAAAAUCUGGAGCUGAAUCAAGUUGCUAAAGGCUAUGUUCGCCAUUUCCAGCCUAGCAACUGGGAAAGAUACCCGUGGAUUACAGGCUCAGUUAGUCACAAAAGGCUCUACUGCUGGGAGUGCUUGCUUUUUGGGACCGAAAAGGGGGCAUGGAAUUGGAAAGGCUACGAUAAUCUGAGCUGUUUAACCAAGGCUGCACAAAAAUACCAAAACACAGCAGGGCAUCUUAAGGCAACGGUCACCAUGAAGACUUUUGGAGACACAAGGAUUGAUCUACAGCUGGACGAACAGAGACGUAGAGAAACGAUCAUUCACAACGAAAAGGUAAACACAAAUCGGGAUAUUUUUGAAACGUCUGAUCCACUGUGUGAUUUUCCUUCCUUUCAGGGGCCAUGAUGAGAGCAGAGAAUCAGCCAAUCGAGGUAAUUACCUGGAGCUUCUUACAUUCAUAGCAGAAUAUGAUCCAGACUUGCACUACCAUUUGUCCACUUCUAAGGUGUUCAUUGGAACCUCGAGUCAAAUACAGAACGACUUGAUAAGUGCUGUGGCCGAAGUGAUGGGUGAGACCAUCAAAGAAGAAAUAAGUAAAGCACCCUUCGUAGCUUUAAUGCUGGAUGAAACAACAGAUGUCAGCAAUGCUGCACAGUUGUCGUUUGUUCUUCGGUUUGCAACAGAAAGUGGCGUAAAAGAGAGGUUCGUCAAAUUUGAGGAUGUGACGGGGAAGAAACGGGCAGAGGAUGUAGCAGCCAUGGCCCUUGAUUUCUUGGAGGAACAUGGAUGCAUGGGCAAACUUGUAGCCCAGUGCUAUGACGGUGCUGCCGUUAUGGCAUCGGGGCUGAACGGAGUCCAAGCCAAGGUCAAGGAAAAUAUCCCACAGGCACUUUUCAUACACUGUUAUGCACAUGCCCUUAAUUUGGUUUUAUCUCAAGGUGUAGUUAAAAUUAAAGAAUGCAGAAUUUUCUUCUCACACCUUUCUGGCCUGGCUGCGUUCUUUUCUAGAUCGCCAAAACGAACGCAGCUGCUUGAUGAAAUAUGCCAGAAGCGACUGCCACGAGUGGCACCAACCAGGUGGAAUUUUGCAUCAAGAUUGGUGUGCACUGUCUUUGAAAAGAAGGAUGCUCUUAAGGAUCUGUUUGACUACAUAGUUGAACACCACGAGGAAUUUGAUGAUGCUGCCAUUCUCAGUGCUGAUGGCUACCUAUCAAACCUGGGCAACUUUGAAUUUAGAUUUUUCCUUUCAACUUUUAACGAGAUAUUUGCGCAUGCAGAUGUGCUCUUCGACAUCUUACAGAACAAGUCAUUCGACAUGCAGUUUUGUCUGACAAGGGUGGAAGAGUUUUGCAUUUGCAUUGAAGGGCAGAGGGAUCGUUUUGAUCAAAUAUAUGAUGAGACUGUGCAGGACACCGGCCUGCCAACUGGACGGAGAGCCCACGGAGAUUCUCGCUCACACUACAAGAAGCUGCACAAUGGCAUUCUUGAGAACAUUUUAAAUCAGGUGCAAAAUCGGUUUAAAGAUCACAAAAAACUGUCAUUCCUUUCUCUUCUGGACCCUCAACAGUUCACCAGCUUUAACAGCAAUUUCCCUGAAACGUUUGUGUCUACAGAAGGUCCAGUUGUGAUAGACACGCUUCGCCACUGCAAUUACCUCUAGUAAACUGCCAGUUUUUGGUAUACAAGUUAUGUAUGUUGUUUUUGUCUAUGCUGUCAGGCAUUACAGGGAGAAGCAUGGAGAUGGCAACACCAGUUCUCCGCAUCCUGAAUCCCCAAGCUCCAGGGGAUCGCACACAGGAAGAGUUGCAAAUCAUGACGAGCACACUGGACUCAUCCUCGUGACCAGGGGAUGAUGGUGACCUGGUAGCUGCGAGCCAGGCUGUGGAAGAAG